ACGAGGAAGGGCGUAGCAAGCGACAAAAUGCUUCGGGGAGUUGAAAAUAAGCAUAGAUCCGGAGAUUCCCAAAUAGGUCAACCUUUUAAACUGCCUGCUGAAUCCAUGAGUAGGCAAGAGACAACCUGACGAACUGAAACAUCUUAGUAGCCAGAGGAAAUUCCAUCCUUACUGG
rfam:Triticum aestivum genome assembly, contig: Triticum_aestivum_CS42_TGACv1_scaffold_556982_7AL